rnacentral:rRNA from 1 species
GAUGAACGCUGGCGGCGUGCCUAAUACAUGCAAGUCGAGCGAACAGACGAGGAGCUUGCUCCUCUGACGUUAGCGGCGGACGGGUGAGUAACACGUGGAUAACCUACCUAUAAGACUGGGAUAACUUCGGGAAACCGGAGCUAAUACCGGAUAAUAUAUUGAACCGCAUGGUUCAAUAGUGAAAGACGGUUUUGCUGUCACUUAUAGAUGGAUCCGUGCCGCAUUAGCUAGUUGGUAAGGUAACGGCUUACCAAGGCAACGAGGCGUAGCCGACCUGAGAGGGUGAUCGGCCACACUGGAACGGAAACACGGUCCAGACUCCUACGGGAGGCAGCAGUAGGGAAUCUUCCGCAAUGGGCGAAAGCCUGACGGAGCAACGCCGCGUGAGUGAUGAAGGUCUUCGGAUCGUAAAACUCUGUUAUGAGGGAAGAACAAAUGUGUAAGUAACUAUGCACGUCUUGACGGUACCUAAUCAGAAAGCCACGGCUAGCUACGUG